rnacentral:rRNA from 1 species
GACAGAGGUGCCGAGCGUUAGGCGGAAUCACUGGGCUUAAAGCGUGUGUAGGCGGAUCGUUUAGUACCUUGUGAAAUCCCACGGCUUAACCGUGGAACUGCUGGGUAUACUGGCGAUCUUGAGCCACCUAGGGGCAACCGGAACAAAUGGUGGAGCGGUGAAAUGCGUAGAUAUGUGGAGGAAUACCGAUGGCGAAGGCAGCCUCCUGGGCCAACACUGACGCUCAUGCACGAAAGCGUGGGGAGCAAACAGG